CUUAAAUCUGGGUUUGUAGAUGACACAGGAGUAGGAAAUUCCAUAAUUAGCAUGUAUUCCAAGUGCUUUAGCAUGAAUGAUGCAAUUAAAUCUUUCAACACUAUGUCAGCACAUGAUAUAGUUUCAUGGAAUUGUUUGAUUGCAGGCUAUCUCCUUCACAGGCAGGGAGAUCAGGCCUUGGUUGUCUGGUCGAGAAUGGAGAAGGCAGGCAUAAAACCCGACACUGCCA
rnacentral:misc_RNA from 1 species